AUAUAUAUAUAUAUACACGCACACCACGAAAUCUUUUUCUAAAAUUUCACCGGAUCUCCUUGUUCCACCAACCUCUCUCCCUCUUCCGGUGAAUCGAAGGAAUCUAGACCAGGUCGGAACUUUCGUGUGGGUUUUAUUGCGCGGAUGGCCGCUGAUUUAAGCGCAGCCCCAAAAGUUUCUUCAUCGUUGAAAAUGUACUGACUCGCGGAGGGCGGAGCAGUAAGUUUAACCGCCUUAAAAUCUCGAGAAAAAUCCAGAAACCCUCCGCGCGCGAUUUUCGCGCGAAGAAGAAAGCGAUCGAAAUAAAUCUAGCCAAAAUAUCGAUCGAAUUUUCCUCUUCUUCCUCCGAGAUCCGCCCCUCGAAUCUUGCGAAAAGGAAAAACGAGUAUCCCAAAACGAAGCAAAGAUUUGGCAAAGACGAGAAGAGCAUUCGAAUCGCGCUCGUUAACCAACAGUCCCGUUACCAAAGUGUUCUCGUCGGAUUAACAGUCCUCCCGGUGCGAACCGGAUGAAUGGACGGGCACACCGCUCACCUCCACCUCUCGAUCAAUAUUUACACUCGUUACUCGUCGUAGCCGAGAUACAAAACGGUACUAUCCUAUCCUAUAUACGUUUCGAAUCUUGGACUUGGAGAUCGGCCUACCAGUUCGUCCGUUCGAGUUGGUCCGCUCGACAGAACGAACGAAUCGCUCGAGGGGACCUGGAGAACCGCAACGGGAUGACUGCUGGGGCGAGGUUGUCCUCGGUGGUGUUCCUCGCCCUCGUUUCCCUGUCGCCGUGUCUGGCGCAGAGGCUCGAGGACGACAAGGACGAUUUCACCGGCCUGUUGGAAAGUCCCUCGCGGCGACCAAGGGCUCUCGCUUUCCCCAAAGACUCCCAGCUUCUGCUGAUCCUGGGACUGGGAACGCCGUUGCAACUGGACCGCGAAAGCAUAAUCAUCGGUGUCUUCACCAAGAUCGUAUACAACUUGCCAUCGAACGCGACAGACUUCACCGUUCCGGGAGUCUAUUAUUCUCGAGCGCAGAAGAGCAGAUGGAGCGUUUAUAAAGCGUUGGAAAAGGCGGCUGGCCUGUACGGAUUCGGUGGGAAGGCCUGCCUAUUGAAGGCCAUUUGCGAAGCUGCCUCCGCUCCUUUCGAUGGUACUCACGGUUUGUUGGGACAGCUGUUGCAUGUCUUCUUCAGGCCUUCGAGCACCGAGGAGCGGUACGACGAGUACGGGGAUCGAGAGUACAGCGCGGCGGAGCGUUUGGGCGAGCAGAUGUCGGCGGAAAACUGCCACGCCCUUUAUCCAGAAUGCCCGAGAAGUAUGCUCGACGUGUUCUCCACGGUGAUCACGUGAAAUCUAUUCCGACCGGACGACACGUGGACAUUCCGUUCAGUUGGAGCUCGAACCAUUUUUCUUGGGAUGAAGACGAUCCUUUCUAAUUCGUGUGCGAUCGAAAUCGACGUUUGCGGGCAAAAAAUUGUUUCAAGUUAAUAUCACAUUUACAAUCGUAAUUGAUCACUCUUCGUAUAACCUCACAAUCAUUGCGUCAGUCGGAAAGUAAUUUCGUUUUUUCACACGAGUGUCGCUAGUCGAACGUUCAUCAGCCAACUUCAUUCUAAGCCGUUGUUGAUAUUUUAUAUUUUGAGAGUUGGCAUUCCGUUGGUUUAUUUUGUAAAAAUUCGUUUGAUUCCGUGCGGUAUUUUUUCGUGUGCGAUGACAAAGAUUCAAGAAGAAGCAUUUUCGGCAUAUUUUAUCAUCGAAAAGGUAAGAAUACCGUUUCAAAAAAGUCGUGCAAAGUCUAUGGAGAAGGUGUAUAAACGGUACGUCAGUGUCAAAACUGGUUUUCAAAAUUUUCGAACAUCGAGAUGCGCCACGUUCUGGAAGACCAGUUGAAGCUGAUGAAGACGAAAUGAAGGCACUGAUCGAAGCAAAUCGAUGAACCGAGAAAUUGCCAUGGGAUUGAAUUAGCCGAAUUCGAGUGUUCGUGAUUAUACAUGAAACGACUUGGUAUUUCAUUGUCAUGAAAAAAAAACGUUUCGAACAACCCAAUAAUUACAGUUAUUCGAACAAGAUUGAACGUAGAAUUCUUAAAUUUAAUCGUUUGUUGAAUUUUGCUCACUGCGAUUAUUCAUUUCAAGCGUUUGAAUUUUCUCGUCCCCUCGUUCUAUUCUCUUGGGAAACUCUUUGAAAAAAUAUUUCAUAACGGCGAACGAUGUUAAUCAUCGUGCAAAACGAGGCUAAUGAAACAUUUGCUCUUAAAAACCUUUUCAUCCGAAAAAAGUAGCCUAAAUGCGCGAGCAAGAAGAAGGAGAGGAAAAAGGGAUCACGCCCUCGUGUUUGUAAUUUAUCGGAGAGAGCGAGUACACGGCCAGAGAGGGCAUCGAGUGCAUCGAGGAGGAGGUGAUCGUUCCGGAAGAAUCCGGUUGAACGCUCGAUUAUGUUGAAACGAUGCAUCCUAAAAUUCAUCCGUUCGAGGCCGUUUCUCAAGGUGUCGAGCCACCGUGAAAGCAUUUCUUAACCGUGCACCCCGUCCUCUUCUUUCUGAGCAUUCUGAAGCUUCCUCUCUUCCUCAAGGAGGAAGUUUUUCAUUUGCCUAAAAGUCGAGCGACCCGCAGUUCAAUCGCCGCCAGUUCUUAGGAGGAAUUCGAAAUUAAAGAAUCUUCGCGGCCCCCCUCGCGAACAAAAUUCUUUCGACUACUCUAAAAACUCUCGUCUCUAAACAACUCUUGAAUAAGAAACGAGCCUGGUUCGAUGAGGAUCGAACGAAACUUGUACAAAUUUCCGAGGAUUUCCAAUAUUCUUUGGAUCUGUUAUUUUUUUUAACCGUUUUCUCUUGCAAACAAAAUUUUUUCCGUUACGGUGAAUACUCCGAUUUCCGAUUUCCUUUUCGAAUUCGUGUUUCUCUCUAUAAUCAAUAAGAGAAAUAAUCUUGUUUGUCUGUUCUAAUGAAUUAGGAUCUCUUUCGCGAAUAAAAUGUAUUGAUUUAACGCUGACUGAUUUAUGAAUAACCAUAGAUUAUCGCGCUCGUGGUGGGAUAAAAACACAGGAUUUUACGUAACAUUUUGUAAAUCUCCGAGAUUCAAAAUUUCGUUUAUCAUAUUCGAAGAAGAUACAGAAAGACGAUAUAAAAUUAUAAAAUCGAUACAAAUUCCCACGAAAAAUGUUCCACGAUUAAUUUAUUAUUAUCAUUAUUACAAAGAAUAGCGGUAGCGAACAGCGCACACACCUACUCAUUCUUCGAUCGUUACAUAUUUAUCUCGCCACAUUUCGCAUUAAUUAUGGAAAUGGGUAAGGUAAAAAAAAAAGUUUUCUCCUCUACCACUUUUAAAUUUCACACCCCGGGAAUGGAUUUUCCUUAAAUCGCAUUAGACCUUUUAUAAUGUAAAAAGUUUUCGAAACGGGUGGUCGGUGUCGUGGAGAAGUUGGAAUUGAAAAUUCCGCCCGACUUAUGCGAUCGUUUACGAUGGUGAAUUAGGGAUAAAUGGACAAUCUAGGCGUGCGUGAAGUUCCGCCCCGAGAGAGAGAGAGAGAGAGAGAGAGGUUCUUAUCGGCUUCGAUCGACACUUUGUCGGGAGGAUGGAAGGAAGAAGGAAGGAGGAAUUCGGUGGACGUCGUCGUCGGUGAACCGGUUGCAAAACGAUAAUAGCCGGUGUUAAAGCACUUUAAAAAGCAUAGUCCAUUAUCGUGCGGGGCGAGCCAAGUACGCGUAACGCUUAAAAGCUGGAAGGAAAAGCUCGUGGAAGGCGGGGUGAGACGAGGGGCACAGGACACAGCCACUCUCCUCCGCCUGGUAUGUAUAUAAUAUGGAGGGGGGGAAAAUAAAAACAGGAAGAGAAGACGGAGAAGUAUCCUCGGAAGAGUGGAACGUUUGCCCCGUUGGGAUGCCCAGAGUCGAACGCCUCCAACAUUUUACCGUGGAUUUAUCUUGUCGAUCUCUUCCCCGAAUGGGCGUUGGUCCCGUAUUAAUUCCCCACCGUGCGAAUUCUUCGUUUCGAGUUUCGCGAAUUCUUCGGGGAAGAAGAGUUUUAGAAUUUCUUUCGAGGUUCAAUCCUCGUUCCGUGUGAAAUUAAUGAAAGUAUACGGAAUAUUUUUAUCUCGUUUUCCUCUCUUCUCACAUCUUCUUCCUCCUUCUUCCUCUCUCCCCUCCACACGAUGUCGAAUUAGGGGAAGAAAAAUGGACACGGCAAGAUCUAUCGAGUGUCGAGAGAGAAUUAAAGCGGGAAUUAAGUUUAUUAUUUCUCUUUAUCACGCAUUAUCAUCGUGUCAUCAAAUUGGCCCCUCGUUAAAUUCGAUCGGGGUGGAGCGAGUUUGGUUAACGAUGGACUAGAGUUAAAAAACUAAAGGUCUGCAUCUUCGCAUCCUCGAGGAGGGUAGAUCCUCUGGCUGUGGAUUUUUCGGAGAGGACAGGGGAGAAACAAUGGAGGAUGAAAAUUUCUACGGACGUCUCUAGUUUCCUCUCGUUACUAUUCCGGUCUGCUUCGAAACCGCGAUAGUGAGAACGAUUUCGCGAGACGUGCUCCUUCCACCAACGUACUCUCGCCCGACCUCUUGGGGGUGCAACUGUGGGAAGUAACGAUGGAAGAAUGAAGGGAGUAGAAAGGAGAAGGAAGGAAGGUUUUGGAUUUUUCCACAAGGAUCUCACGAGAUAUUCCCUCUCCUACGAAAAUGAUACGCUUCCCUUCCCCUCUUCCCUUCGUUUCCUUUUUAUUAUUCCAGUCGAAUCAAAUUCGUGGAUCACGCGGAACGAAAGAACGGACGCGUUCCUUCUGCGGGCGUAUCCACUCUGUCCCCUCCCCCCUGCCAUUUUAUCGGCCCAUCCAUUAUAAAUUUUCGUUCCGGCCAAAUCUUUUUCCUUCUCGAAGUACUAACCUCCUACCUUUUCGUACUUUGAAUUUUAUUCCUUCGUUCCAUGACAAUUUAUCUUGUGUAUAAAACUUGUUUCCACGAAGACAAAGAGAGAGAGAGAGAGAGAAAUCUCGAGUCAUCGUUAUUUAAAAUCAGUAAGUUAGAGUAAAUAAGAAGAUUCUUUCUUUCCUCUCUCCACCCCGUUAUGUUUACUCAUUCCAUUAAAAUAUUUAACAAAUCGAAAGGGAGAGAUUCGUAAUUCCUGCGGCAAGAUCCCCUUUUUUGGAACUCGUUCUCGAAACAAGAAGAGGUGAUCGGAUCGAGUAGAAUUCGAGAAUUCCAACGAGUCUCCUCCUUUCCGCCUCGCCUCGAAUUACCAUCUCGGAGGAUCCCCGAUUUUUCCCUUCUUUUCCUCCUCCCUCCUCCUUUUUUAAAUUUUCUUUCGGGUUGAAAUAAACCUCGGCGAUUACGAGCGAGUUAUCGAUCGAGAGAAACCAAGGAUAGAAUUCGGAUAGGAAGGAAUGUAAUUGAAAGUAGGAGUAGGAGACAAGAGCGCGUCGGGGUCCGGGAUGAAGACAAAUGCGGUCGUUUUUUAUCAUUUUUUUCUCGCGACAUCGACGCAUUAUUCCCGUCAUAAGUUAUCGCUUUAUUACCAUCGUCAUUACGGUGUUUUACGAUCCACGUGACCGUAAAAUAUGGCGUCGUUAUGAAAAAAGGCUCAGGGCGGGUUGCCCUCUUUCAGGAUACGCGUCUAUGAGAGAUCGCGUAACACGGUAUCGCUUCUUUUUUUGGAAUGGGCCGAUUUCCUCGAAAAUAUUUUAAAUACCUUUCUUCUCUUUUAAUCUACAUCUGUAUAUUCAUAAUCGUGUUUUUUGCAUUCUCGGGCCCGUUCGUAUUAGAAACGAGACAAGCUCGAUUUUUGGAAAUUGGAGAUAAUAACUUCGCUUUAAUUUCGACAUUGGAAUGGAAGAAUGGAAUCAAAUGUAUAAAUAAUAUUCGAUGUAUUUUUUAAUACAAUUCUACGAAUACGCGCGCAAACGCCGCCAAUUGGCGCUGCCUCUCAGCAAGAUUGCAAUAUUGGAUGGGAUGAUAUCGUUUAUGCCAACCGCGUUGCGUGUGCCAAACGUGUGAUUAUCGCAAUAACUAAAUCAAAAUAACUAAAUAAACAAACAAAAUCGAGUAUCACGAUUCUAAUUUUGAUUUAAAAAUAAUUCUCCCCUCGCAUCGAAACGACAAUUUUUCCUUCAAUUUCCCUUCUAUUUCAAACAAAACAAAAGAAAAAGAAAUCGAUUAAAUUUCUGCGAGAUUGAAUUAAAAAUUUUAGCGCGACCAAAGAUUGUUUAUCGAAAGAUAAAGAUAAAGGAAAAAAGUAGGCAGUAAUUUCUGAGUGGAAGAAAUCCGCGUUUCUUCGGGAGGAGAGAUCCGGCUAUCCUCGGAUGAGAUUUUAAUUCAACUUCGGUCGUUAAUCGCGCCGCGUUGGAAACGGAAUUAAUUAAAGCUGCUUAACAGCCGGCCAAUUAUUGGAUUUACAACGCUAUCGUUGGCAGGGGUUAAGCUGAUAUACCGAUGAAUCGGGCUUCGGUUUUCCAUACUGCAUAUCGAAACGCGUUUGCGUUUCCAUUCCCCCCUCUUAUUCGAUUCGAUCGCAAAUUUCCUUCUUCUUCUUCUUCUUUCCUUUUUCCUUUCUAAACGCUCAUCGCACGAGAUAAUUUAUCGUCGGAUAUUAAAAUUAAAAUAAAAUCGAAUCGAAAGAAAAUAAACACGUUGUUCGCACGUGUGCGUUACUCCUCGACCUUUGUUUUCGUCUAUGAAAUUAACAUUUCGUUUUCCAGAGAAUUUGUACGUGCAAUUUAACCGCAGAGUGAUUCUUGGAAAGCCGCUUCUCCAAACGACUCGCAAUCACGAACGUCGAACGUAAACAACAUACCAUACGGUCUUCCUUUACGAAUACUACGCAUUCAUUAUCGCGUUGUCGGUCGCGCGAACUGGUAGCCCAUUCGUCGUUGGCUCGUCGAGAAGUCUGUCUAAAAUCUUUUUCCGUUUGCCGUUUUUUUAACUUGAAGUGUUUUAAAAUUAACAUGUUUCGCUCGUUUCCAUUGGGAGCCGUAGUGAUAGUGUGCUCGUUCGUUUGGAGAAGCGAAAGUAUCCUUCUUUAUCCCAACAACACGUUGUUCCAGGCACGGUUGGGAGGACGGGAGAGAGUGCCUUCUGAAGACCAUCUGCGAACUCGCGGAGACGCCGUUUGGAAGGACACGUCGUGACGUCCUCGAGGAGGUGAUCCACUUAAUUUUAACGCCGAGCGAGGACUUGCCAGAUUCGGUUAACUCCACUCGCCGGAUCGUCGACCACUCGUACCGAGAUGCGGAACUAUUGGGAAGAUCCGGAGGCGACUGCAUCCUCGCCUAUCCCGAUUGCACCGAUUCACCCCUCGAAACGUUCACGGAGAUCGCGUCCCCCUAGGGAAAUGGGGGAAGGACAUUGAUUUCGCCGAACUUUGCAGCCCUCCCCCUCUCGUUGCGAUCGAUCGAUCGAUUCGGAUGGACAACAUUUGUCGAUGAUCCGUCGCAAACUUUUUUCACGCGUUAUAAAAAAACACGGCGCGAGACGAGUCGAUCGUUCGAGAAGCUGUAUACCUUUCGGAUGUAACACGUAUCGAAAGAGAGUAUGUGUGGGAGAGCGUGCUCGGUGACUUUAUCGUAAAAGAAUUUAUUACGGAGGGGUUUGGGGACGGAACACAGUGCUAAGUAAAUUUCGUUGUAAGUGAGAGCUGCCUUGGAAAGCUCUAUGUUUCGACCACCCCACUUCCUUCCUAUGAUAUAACUCGCAAUAAAAGAGCUUUUUAUAAUUACAAA